GGUUAAGCGACUAAGCGUACACGGUGGAUGCCCUGGCAGUCAGAGGCGAUGAAGGACGUGCUAAUCUGCGAAAAGCGUCGGUAAGGUGAUAUGAACCGUUACAGCCGGCGAUGUCCGAAUGGGGAAACCCAGUGCAAUUCGUUGCACUAUCGUUAACUGAAUACAUAGGUUAACGAGGCGAACCGGGGGAACUGAAACAUCUAAGUACCCCGAGGAAAAGAAAUCAACCGAGAUUCCCCCAGUAGCGGCGAGCGAACGGGGAGCAGCCCAGAGUCUGAAUCAGCUUGUGUGUUAGUGGAACGGUCUGGAAAGUCCGACGGUACAGGGUGAUAGUCCCGUACACCAAAAUGCACAGGCUGUGAACUCGAAGAGUAGGGCGGGACACGUGGUAUCCUGUCUGAAUAUGGGGGGACCAUCCUCCAAGGCUAAAUACUCCUGACUGACCGAUAGUGAACCAGUACCGUGAGGGAAAGGCGAAAAGAACCCCGGCGAGGGGAGUGAAAAAGAACCUGAAACCGUGUACGUACAAGCAGUGGGAGCACCUUUAUGGUGUGACUGCGUACCUUUUGUAUAAUGGGUCAGCGACUUAUAUUCUGUAGCAAGGUUAACCGUAUAGGGGAGCCGCAGGGAAACCGAGUCUUAACUGGGCGUUAAGUUGCAGGGUAUAGACCCGAAACCCGGUGAUCUAGCCAUGGGCAGGUUGAAGGUUGGGUAACACUAACUGGAGGACCGAACCGACUAAUGUUGAAAAAUUAGCGGAUGACUUGUGGCUGGGGGUGAAAGGCCAAUCAAACCGGGAGAUAGCUGGUUCUCCCCGAAAGCUAUUUAGGUAGCGCCUCGUGAAUUCAUCUUCGGGGGUAGAGCACUGUUUCGGCUAGGGGGUCAUCCCGACUUACCAACCCGAUGCAAACUACGAAUACCGAAGAAUGUUAUCACGGGAGACACACGGCGGGUGCUAACGUCCGUCGUGAAGAGGGAAACAACCCAGACCGCCAGCUAAGGUCCCAAAGUCAUGGUUAAGUGGGAAACGAUGUGGGAAGGCACAGACAGCCAGGAUGUUGGCUUAGAAGCAGCCAUCAUUUAAAGAAAGCGUAAUAGCUCACUGGUCGAGUCGGCCUGCGCGGAAGAUGUAACGGGGCUAAACCAUGCACCGAAGCUGCGGCAGCGACACUAUGUGUUGUUGGGUAGGGGAGCGUUCUGUAAGCCUGCGAAGGUGACCUGUGAGGGUUGCUGGAGGUAUCAGAAGUGCGAAUGCUGACAUAAGUAACGAUAAAGCGGGUGAAAAGCCCGCUCGCCGGAAGACCAAGGGUUCCUGUCCAACGUUAAUCGGGGCAGGGUGAGUCGACCCCUAAGGCGAGGCCGAAAGGCGUAGUCGAUGGGAAACAGGUUAAUAUUCCUGUACUUGGUGUUACUGCGAAGGGGGGACGGAGAAGGCUAUGUUAGCCGGGCGACGGUUGUCCCGGUUUAAGCAUGUAGGCUGAUUAUCCAGGCAAAUCCGGAUAAUCAAGGCUGAGGUGUGAUGACGAGGCACUACGGUGCUGAAGUAACAAAUGCCCUGCUUCCAGGAAAAGCCUCUAAGCAUCAGGUAACAUCAAAUCGUACCCCAAACCGACACAGGUGGUCAGGUAGAGAAUACCAAGGCGCUUGAGAGAACUCGGGUGAAGGAACUAGGCAAAAUGGUGCCGUAACUUCGGGAGAAGGCACGCUGGUGUGUAGGUGAAGCCCCUGCGGGUGGAGCUGAGACCAGUCGAAGAUACCAGCUGGCUGCAACUGUUUAUUAAAAACACAGCACUGUGCAAACACGAAAGUGGACGUAUACGGUGUGACGCCUGCCCGGUGCCGGAAGGUUAAUUGAUGGGGUUAUCCGUAAGGAGAAGCUCUUGAUCGAAGCCCCGGUAAACGGCGGCCGUAACUAUAACGGUCCUAAGGUAGCGAAAUUCCUUGUCGGGUAAGUUCCGACCUGCACGAAUGGCGUAAUGAUGGCCAGGCUGUCUCCACCCGAGACUCAGUGAAAUUGAACUCGCUGUGAAGAUGCAGUGUACCCGCGGCAAGACGGAAAGACCCCGUGAACCUUUACUAUAGCUUGACACUGAACAUUGAGCCUUGAUGUGUAGGAUAGGUGGGAGGCUUUGAAGCGUGGACGCCAGUCUGCGUGGAGCCAACCUUGAAAUACCACCCUUUAAUGUUUGAUGUUCUAACGUUGGCCCCUUACCGGGGUUGCGGACAGUGUCUGGUGGGUAGUUUGACUGGGGCGGUCUCCUCCCAAAGCGUAACGGAGGAGCACGAAGGUUAGCUAAUCCUGGUCGGACAUCAGGAGGUUAGUGCAAUGGCAUAAGCUAGCUUGACUGCGAGCGUGACGGCGCGAGCAGGUGCGAAAGCAGGUCAUAGUGAUCCGGUGGUUCUGAAUGGAAGGGCCAUCGCUCAACGGAUAAAAGGUACUCCGGGGAUAACAGGCUGAUACCGCCCAAGAGUUCAUAUCGACGGCGGUGUUUGGCACCUCGAUGUCGGCUCAUCACAUCCUGGGGCUGAAGUAGGUCCCAAGGGUAUGGCUGUUCGCCAUUUAAAGUGGUACGCGAGCUGGGUUUAGAACGUCGUGAGACAGUUCGGUCCCUAUCUGCCGUGGGCGCUGGAGAAUUGAGGGGGGCUGCUCCUAGUACGAGAGGACCGGAGUGGACGCAUCACUGGUGUUCGGGUUGUCAUGCCAAUGGCACUGCCCGGUAGCUAAAUGCGGAAGAGAUAAGUGCUGAAAGCAUCUAAGCACGAAACUUGCCCCGAGAUGAGUUCUCCCUGAGACUUUAAGUCUCCUGAAGGAACGUUAAAGACGAUGACGUUGAUAGGCCGGGUGUGUAAGCGCAGCGAUGCGUUGAGCUAACCGGUACUAAUGAACCGUGAGGCUUAACCUU
rnacentral:rRNA from 1 species